rnacentral:rRNA from 1 species
AUUGAACGCUGGCGGCAUGCCUUACACAUGCAAGUCGAACGGCAGCACGGGUGCUUGCACCUGGUGGCGAGUGGCGAACGGGUGAGUAAUACAUCGGAACGUACCUUAUCGUGGGGGAUAACGCAGCGAAAGUUGCGCUAAUACCGCAUACGCCCUGAGGGGGAAAGCGGGGGACCGUAAGGCCCCGCGCGAGUAGAGCGGCCGAUGUCUGAUUAGCUUGUUGGUGAGGUAAAAGCUCACCAAGGCGAUGAUCAGUAGCUGGUCUGAGAGGACGAUCAGCCACACUGGGACUGAGACACGGCCCAGACUCCUACGGGAGGCAGCAGUGGGGAAUUUUGGACAAUGGGGGCAACCCUGAUCCAGCAAUGCCGCGUGAGUGAAGAAGGCCUUCGGGUUGUAAAGCUCUUUUGUCAGGGAAGAAACAGCAGCUCUAACACAGUCUGCGAAUGACGGUACCUGAAGAAUAAGCACCGGCUAACUACGUGCCAGCCGCCGCGGUAA